rnacentral:rRNA from 1 species
AACGAACGCUGGCGGCAUGCCUAACACAUGCAAGUCGAACGAGACCUUCGGGGCUAGUGGCGCACGGGUGCGUAACGCGUGGGAACCUGCCCUUAGGUUCGGAAUAACUCCCCGAAAGGGGUGCUAAUACCGGAUAAUGUCUUCGGACCAAAGAUUUAUCGCCUUUGGAUGGGCCCGCGUUGGAUUAGCUAGUUGGUAGGGUAAAAGCCUACCAAGGCGACGAUCCAUAGCUGGUCUGAGAGGAUGAUCAGCCACACUGGGACUGAGACACGGCCCAGACUCCUACGGGAGGCAGCAGUGGGGAAUAUUGGACAAUGGGCGAAAGCCUGAUCCAGCAAUGCCGCGUGAGUGAUGCAGGCCUUAGGGUCGUAAAGCUCUUUUACCCGGGAUGAUAAUGACAGUACCGGGAGAAUAAGCGCCGGCUAACUCCGUG